GCGCUACCGUCCACCGCCGAUUCAUUUGAUGCUAACGCGAUGGGCUCCCUACUCUCGUGCAUCUCCGACACCGAACCUCGCCCAUCUCCGCCGUCCCGCCGCCGCACGCCGCCGGGCGCCAAGUCCCGCCGUGAAGCCCUAACCCGCGAGGAGCACGCCAUGGCAGCGGCAGCCGCGAUGCUUCUACAGCAGAACGGCGUCUCGCUGCCGUUCGACCGCUCGUCGUCGCUUCGGUAUCCG
rnacentral:misc_RNA from 1 species